rnacentral:rRNA from 1 species
UACAGAGGUGGCAAGCGUUGUUCGGAAUUACUGGGCGUAAAGGGCGCGUAGGCGGCCUUGUAAGUCCUGUGUGAAAUCCCCCGGCUCAACUGGGGAACUGCACAGGAGACUGCUUGGCUUGAGUUCGGGAGAGGGAAGCGGAAUUCCGGGUGUAGCGGUGAAAUGCGUAGAUAUCCGGAGGAACACCGGUGGCGAAGGCGGCUUCCUGGACCGACACUGACGCUGAGGCGCGAAAGCGUGGGGAGCGAACAGG